GAUGAACGCUAGCGGCAGGCCUAACACAUGCAAGUCGAGGGGUAACAUAGGAAAGCUUGCUUUUCUGAUGACGACCGGCGCACGGGUGCGUAACGCGUAUACAACCUACCUUUUAGCGGGGAAUAGCCCAGGGAAACUUGGAUUAAUGCCCCAUAGUAUAUAGACUUCUCCUGAAGUUUAUAUUAAACAUUUAUGGCUAUUAGAUGGGUAUGCGUCCUAUUAGUUAGUUGGUAAGGUAACGGCUUACCAAGGCAGCGAUAGGUAGGGGUCCUGAGAGGGAGAUCCCCACACUGGUACUGAGACACGGACCAGACUCCUACGGGAGGCGGCAGUGAGGAAUAUUGGACAAUGGGCGAGAGCCUGAUCCAGCCAUGCCGCGUGCAGGAAGACUGCCCUAUGGGUUGUAAACUCCUUUCACCUGGGAAGAAAACUCACCCCGCGAUAAACGGGGUGACCUGACGGUACCGGGAGAAGAAGCCCUGGCUAACUCCGUG
rnacentral:rRNA from 1 species